rnacentral:rRNA from 1 species
UACGGAGGGUGCAAGCGUUAUCCGGAUUCACUGGGUUUAAAGGGUGCGUAGGCGGGUUGGUAAGUCCGUGGUGAAGUCCCCAAGCUUAACUUGGGAACUGCCGUGGAUACUAUCAAUCUUGAAUAUCGUGGAGGUAAGCGGAAUAUGUCAUGUAGCGGUGAAAUGCUUAGAUAUGACAUAGAACACCAAUUGCGUAGGCAGCUUACUACACGAUCAUUGACGCUGAGGCACGAAAGCGUGGGGAGCAAACAGG